rfam:Drosophila ananassae strain TSC#14024-0371.13 Ctg01_18762, whole genome shotgun sequence.
AGCACCUAAAAGCGUUUUCUUGCCAGCCCGUUAACUGCUCUUGAAAAUCGUAGAUGUGUGCCAGAGCAAGCUUCCCAACAGCAAGUGACAAGAGUUCUAAUGACUCUUGUCCGUUUACGUUGUGAAUAAGU